rnacentral:misc_RNA from 1 species
CAGAAUGAAAAGUGCUUAACUGCAUUUUUUCUUACACAUGUGUUUUUCUUUUUUUGAAAACUUUGCUUUGGUAGGCCUUCUAUAUGGGGCCUGCCAGAGAUUAAACUCAACCAAAUUUUAUUUAAUGUCAACCGAUUAUUUAAUAGUCA